rnacentral:rRNA from 1 species
GCGUUGUUCGGAUUUACUGGGCGUAAAGGGCGCGCAGGCGGCUCAUUUUGUCAGGCGUGAAAGCCCCGGGCUUAACCUGGGAACUGCGUUUGAUACGGAUGGGCUAGAGUUCGGGAGAGGAGAGUGGAAUUCCUGGUGUAGCGGUGAAAUGCGCAGAUAUCAGGAAGAACACCCGUGGCGAAAGCGGCUCUCUGGAACGGUACUGACGCUGAGACGCGAAAGCGUGGGGAGCGAACAGG